ACAGAAAGUUUAGCACAUACCAUUUAUUAAGUAGAAUUAUUCCUGUUAUAACAAAUCACAAUGUAUAUGUGGAUAAUACAUUUCAAUUCAAGUCUAACAAGUAUCAUUAAAUAUACUUGCAUUAUUAAUACAUACAUAGUCCUCUUCAGAGAUAUGGAAACUUAUUCAGUGAAUACAGACGGCCCCCAGCUUGCAAUGGUUUCACUUAAAAUUUUUUGAUUUUUCAACUGUGCAAAAGCUAUACAGAUUCAGUGGGAAUUAUACUUCAAAUUUUGAAUUUUGCCCUUUCUCCCAGGUAGUGAUGUGUGAUACAAUACUUCUCAAGAUGCUGAGUAGUGGCAAUAAGCCAAAGCUCCCAGUCAGCCAUGAGAUCAACCAAUGAUCAACCAUGAUCAACCAAUACUCUACAAUGUACUGCAUUAUGAGAUUAUUUGUCCAAAUAUAGGCUAAUGAUUACUGGGAUGUAACCCCAUCAUAAGUCAUGGAGAAUCUGUAUACUUAAAGAAAAUGGCAGAUAACUUUCAGCAAGUUUUAUUUAAGAAUGUUUUCACGACCACAGUAUGAAAGGCUCUGUCUUUCACUUUUCCUUAGAAGAUAACAUAAAUGAGGAGGCAAUUCAACUUCAACCACGUGGAUAAGGACAACACUCAGGUGGAAAGGUGUUAUGGGAUGAAUUGUGUUCCCUCUAAAUUCAGAUGUUGAAGUCUUAACCCCAGUACCUCAGAAUGUGACUGUUUCGGGAGACAUGGUCUUUAAAAGUAAAAUUAAGUUAAAAUGAGGUCAUUAGCAUGGGGUCUAAUCCAACCUUCUAAGAAGAGGAAACUUGGACAUAGACACAUACAGAAGGAAGACAAUGAGAAGACACAGGGAGAAAAUGGCCGUCUAUCUGGCAAGGUUGCCCCAGAAGAAACAACCCUACCAAUCCCCUGAUCCUGGACU